rnacentral:misc_RNA from 1 species
ACUUGGGCUUGGAGCAUCAGGGUCCGUCAUGAUGAGAGUAUAAGAAGUCCUCAAGUCCUCGCCACCAAUCUCGACUCUAGGUCUAGCUGCAAUGACUGAAGGCAUGAACUCAUAGCCAUUAGCAACUUGCUUGUUGGAAUUAUAAGUGACAACCAUUCUCACGCUCGGGGUGAAUAUGUCCACCACAUCGCCUACAACUCUCCCUACAGCAAGUGGCUCCAUGAUCCUUG